rnacentral:lncRNA from 1 species
UUUUUUUUUAGAAUCAAGUGUCCCUUUUAAUAUUUUUUAUUAAAAAAGAACCUUUUUGGCUCCGGACUCUUAUAUAGUGGUAUUUGAUGGUGGAUGAUCAAAUUAGUGGCAGUAUUUUUGCUAUUGAUAGUAUUAUAAUUUUGGUGGUGAAAAAGAGAAUUGUCAUGAUUAUUAUUAUUAAUUUCAAAAAUGACAAUGGUGGUAGUUUAGUUUGGGUGACCGUGAAAUUUACAUGGGCUAUGACUUUCAUAUCAGUAUGGUGGUGUGUUGAUAUUUUGGGGUUCUUGUAACUUUUGAUGGGUGCAAUAAUAGUAUUGUGGUUCCAAUGAUGAAUCUGGUUAUUGGUCCUCAAUUUCGUGGUGACGAUGGUAAUAGUCCAUUAUUCGAUUUUUGGUAGUUGGAUUUAAUAGUGAGUGAUGAAAAUUGUGUUAGUUAUGCAGUGAAAUAUAAGGAUUGACUGAUGGUGCAGCAGACGAUAGUGGCUUCGGUUGUAUAGUGAAGUAGAAGCAAUUGGUAGGGGGGUAGGGGAGGAUACGGCAUCUAAUGCAACAAGUGACGUAUAUGCGACUGGUUAUAUAUGUUAGAACAAUGUUAAUUCCACUUAAAAUAACAAAAUCAUUAGAUCAAUUGGAGUAAGAAGUUGAGACUCAAAAAGCGUUUGAAGCGUCUCUCAAUGAAUCAACAAGAGAGAGAUUCUUAUAAACUACAAUAGAGAAGCUCGUAUUUACAAGAUGUGGAGUACUCUCUCUUGGUAGGCUAUUACACACUGCCUACUUUCGAAACUCCAUAAAGUACCACUCUCUAAUGAAAGCACACACCUACAAAGCAUAUUAGUAAAUAUAGCAAACAGUAGCAAAUAUCACUUUGAAAGCGAGAGGGAAAUGGAAGGGGAGGGAUGCGGCAGUUGGAGCAAAGACCCAUUGUUUUACCUACCAAUCUGUGAUGAAGAAAAGCACGAGAGAACGCCCUCUCCUUGCAAGGCUAGAUAGAGUUGUGAAUGUAAAUUACUAGGUAGCGCCCAAAAGCCCUGUGCCUUUUGUGGUCGGACAAACCAGGCCAGCAAUUUCCGACAAGUCUUAAAGUCACACAGAUAUAUUUGUAAGCAAUAGAUCAGAACACAAGGGAAUGAAUAGCAAGUGUGUUGCUCUAUGACUGCAACAAGUACCUGUAUUAGCCUUCCGCCAAUUUCUUCACCAAAAAAGGCGGUAUGAUACCUAAGAACUGCACAGUUGCCUACAUAUAGGGGCAAAGGUCAAAAAAUUCAUCUGAUAGUGUCCAUAUUUAAGGUAUAUAGAGAAACCAGCUACACUCAAUUUGAUGUGCAAAGAAGAAAAAAUUCUCCAGCAAAGGAUCAGAUAAUUGCUUCAAGCUAAAUAUUUGAACAAAUUUGGGUUCUCUUUGUCUCUCUCCAGGUAAUCUCUAGUGAUGAGAUCUUCAAUUCGCUUUUUGAUUGCUUUGAAAUCAGGCUACACAAAUACGCAAAAUGAUUGAUAUUAAUAUAAAAUGCUCAAUCUCUAUAACUAGAAGUGAUAACUAUCUGCAAGAUAAAGGAAAGUUCAAGAUUGCAAGACACUUGCACAGGAAAUAAAGGCUCAAAUAAGGGAAGUUCAAGAUUGCUACACACUUGAAAAGGACCUAGAGGCUCAUAAAACAAUCUGAAUGUGAGGAGGUCAUGUAUUGGAUGGGGGCACAGCAACAUCAUUAAAACUUUAAGCACAAAGCGCAAUCGUAUUUUGCCCUUGUUCAUCUCUGAUCUCACAUACAAGUUUUGAGUCUGUAGGAAAUUCUAGCUUCUCGAGAACAUGAAUUCUCAAAGGUAAUGAACUAAAAAUCACGUGACCCGCAACACUUGUUUUCCCUCAAGUAAUACCACUUCUUUUAUGACCAACAUCACUUAACCCAUUGAGGAAGUAUGAACACCAGAUAAUAUCCAAAAAAACACUAUAGACAAAAGGGGGUUCGCCUCCUCUCUUCAUCUCGUGUUACAUCGGUUAAAAAGAAAAUGAAAAUGACAGAGAAACAAAUGGCAAAAAACAAAACGAACUACCUAUACAAAUUGCUGUCCAAAUUGACCAAUUAACAGAAUGAAAUUGGAAAUGGAAGAUUGUUACCAGAUAAUAUAUUUAGAGGUGUGAAAAACUAUUGAAAGAUAUCUCUCAACCUAAAGAUGCUUCGUCUCAACAGUACUAUAAUAAUGUCCAGAAAGUCGAGGUUAAGAAAUUCGAAGUGCGUUUUGGUCUCAGAAAGCAAAAUUGUGGAACAAGUUGUGAUGGGAGGCAAUUAGAAGAUUGACAGAAAAGGUAAAACUGGUGUUUGUCAUUCUGCAAGUUAUAUUCAUUGGGUAUCAUUCUGCAAGUUAUAUUCAUUGGGUAGGAAAACCAACAAUCACACUUUAAGUCAAAUAAGACCAUUUUUUAAAAUAUAAUAAUAACAAUAGAAGUACAAGACACUGUCACAAACCUAAAAAUAAAGAAAACCCCUUCAACUAUUUUACCGACAUAUUUAAAUCUUUAAGAUUACUUUCAACACCACGAUCCCGAUAUAGACCAUGAUCCUGAAAGAAAGUUGUUGAGUAUUGAGAUGACAUGACAGGUGUAAUCCAAGUUAUGAACAACUUUUAAAACAAACAAAAAACUGCCAAGUUAUCUGCCGUGAUGAGCCUAGAAUGUAUAACCUUCAAUUUCUUUAUUGUCAAGCUGGAAAACAUCGAAUACAGUGUCAUAAAUAGCCUUCCAGUAUCAAAUUGAAUACCAUGGUUACAAGAGCAUGCAAAUCAUAUUGACCUUCCAAAAAUGAUUUAUUUCAUCCUAGAAAAUCCAAAAAAAUGGUGCAUACCUUAAACAUUCGGCUCAACUGCUCAACACACUCCAACACUAGUUGCUGAUGAGGAAGAACUUUUCGACUCUUCAUAAUGCGCACAAUACAGGCAUCAAUAGCAUAACGUCUAUCUUUGUCUACAUCCUCAACCACUUUUUUCCUUUCAUCCACAGGAGGUAAUGGAACCUGGAUGGUGCAAAUAGAACAUGCCAUUAGGAAUAGGUGUCUAGUGUGCGGUCAAAGAAGGAAGCAUCAUUGAAAAAUACAGAGUUCUUUAUCUAUACCCUAAUCCGCCUCAUCCUGUCAGUGAAUUUGGAGUUGAAUGCAAAAUGAUCAGAUGGCGAAACAAUUCUAUUACUAGGCUCCUUAGUCAGAAUUUUAUACUUGGCACAUGAAAGGGAUUGAAGCAAUCUGAUCAAGUCAUCAUCAGCCAGAUUUAACUGACUCUUGAUUUCGGAGUAACUCAAUCUAUCUGAAGCAUUAAACAACAGAAGAACAGCAGCCUGAAAAAAACGGCAAUCAUAAAUCCAAAGGUGGACUGUAACCAAGAGGGAUAUUUUAAUGGAAUUGUUAAGACGGAGUAGUCACCUGAUAAGUUCCCAGAAUCAGUUCGAUGGUUUUGGACUCGAACUUCCCAUUGAUGUUACACGUACCCAAUGAAUAAAUCCAUGUCAAUUUCCUGUGUUUUGUUUUUGUCUGAUAGAACUCCUUGAAGACUUCCACACACUUUACCUGAGGGUAAAUGACACAACAGCUAGGCCAUUCAUUAAUUCAGAAGAAAAACCUCAAAUCAGCAACAGAAAAGAGGAUUUUCAAAUUAUCAAGAAAAGCUCCUCUUACCAUUUCCGCAGGGAGACUCAAAUCAGACGACUUGUAACUAGGCCAGAACCCAGUUGUAAGAACUGUGACAGUUAAAUCAAUUCCAGGACUUGCUGCAGCGUUGUUGCUGAGAUAUUCUUGAAAAUUGUUCUGACUUUCCCUAGCCAACGUCAAGUCUGUCACCUGUUUUGCAGUUACCAACCACAGGUUUUAAUAAGACAUUUGAAAGGGGAUGGGAUAAACUAUGAAAAGAUGUUGUGUUUCCUCACCAUUCCCUCCAUCUUUGACGUAAACUGUCCACCACACUGUUGCUUUAACUUUGUUAAGAUGAGCCUUUCGUGGUCAUCACUGGCACUUUUAUCAAAGAGCAAUCGACGAGAAAGCUUCUUCCUAUCAUACCAAGAUAAUGAACAUUCCAAAAGGUAAAUGAAGAUUCAACCUAUAACACCAAGGUAACUAUAUCAAGAGACUGUUGAACUGUCUACCCACCUGUAGAACUCCGCAAAAAGGUCUUUGUCACUAAUGUAUGCAAGAAGCUUGACCACCUACAAAAAUUCAAACCAUAUUAUGAUAUCGUUUGGCCGAAAGAUGAACUUUCCAGGAAGUGGAGUGAUUUGAAGUCGUGCUAUACCUUAUCCAAGGUCUCCUCAAUGGCAUCAUCACUGAGUUUUUCACUCCCACCUUUCUUAAGAAUAUUAUCACAAUAAGAAGCAAGGAGCUCUGCACUUGAACAACCAGACACAAUCUUGUUACAGAAGACCUCAAAUGCCUCCUUGAGAGCCUAUAUAUGUCAAACUUUAGACAUCAGAAACACUGACUGACAAAUAAUUUAAAGUACAAAAAAAACCAACAAUUGUUAACAACAGAAUAUACCUUAUGAAAGAGAGAGUUAUUAGCAAAACAGUCCGUAACAUAAGCCAGAUACUUAUCGUGAAGCUCAAUCAACUUUCUAACAAAGACCUGCGGAAGGUAUGGAAUCCAUGGUUAGAAGAAUUUACAUUACACAAAAGUGAAAAAAAAAAGGAAUAUGGUUUUACCUGCUCUCCUGAGCCUGAACUUUCGGCCUGUGCAGAAAAAACAUAAACACUUCAAAUAGAAACACUAGUAAAUUUCUUCCAACGAACAAAAAUUUAUUGAACCCACAAGGACAGCAAGGCUGGAAAAGACUUCUCAUAUAUAUGUGUGUACUUAUUUCUACAAAUGCUUUCAACUCUAGCCAAAAGUUUUUGUUCUCUAAAAGAAAGUGGUGUAUCAUGCAUACCCUCUCCCCCGCUGUUUUUUCCUAUUCACCAUUUAAAUAGACUUCAUUUCGCAUGCAAUUAACAGAUAAUCAUCGUUUUUAAGUGAAACCGUUAAAAACGUGAAACAAGAAGAAAGACAAUUCACCUUGCUAUUUGUCGUCUCUUCAGCCUGCUGNNNNNNNNNNNNNNNNNNNNNNNNNNNNNNNNNNNNNNNNNNNNNNNNNNNNNNNNNNNNNNNNNNNNNNNNNNNNNNNNNNNNNNNNNNNNNNNNNNNNNNNNNNNNNNNNNNNNNNNNNNNNNNNNNNNNNNNNNNNNNNNNNNNNNNNNNNNNNNNNNNNNNNNNNNNNNNNNNNNNNNNNNNNNNNNNNNNNNNNNNNNNNNNNNNNNNNNNNNNNNNAUGCCUUCAGCAAUGACAUGCUGCAAAAAUAUUUAUAGUCAGCAGAUGUUAAGCCAAACUUACAAAACUAGAUAAAUAAUUCUUUUGUUGCUCAGUAAUUGGCACAGAAUGAUAGAAAAUAAAAGUACCUGUUUAAACAUAUUUGAAACAGGUUCCAAUCCCUUGGGGAUUCUGAGGAAUAACCUAUACAUUCGAGAUAGAUCCUCUACCUGAGUGUACAAAAGAGAGUGCGACAUUGAAUUUCUGUAAAAUAUAUCGAAACUUCCAAAAAACUAAUGGUGAAGAGCAACACAAGAAUUCAAUACCUUAUCAUCUCUAAGCAAUGCUCGGCAUCCAGAAUGCUCUUUCUCAAGUAACUGAAUGGUGUAUACAACCAACAAUUCAUUUUGCACUUUCUGCAUCAUAAAUUAGGUCCCAGCAUUGGAAACAAAUCCAACUAAAGAAAUACUAUCAACAUGUAAAUAGUCUGAAUUUCCAACAUUAGAAAUCAAGCAUACAUCGGGCGAAUACUUUAAAGCAAUGACAUAAAUAAUAAGUGCACCAUAGAAAAAUGAAACUGACAACUUCAGUUUUCACAUUUUAUCUCCCUGAACAAAAUUAAAAAGACCAUGACCAACCCACCACCUAAUCAGUAUGUUUCACUCGAACCAAGAAAAAGAUGCGCGUUAGGUAAUAUCACACUUGAGAAUUGUGCACCCAUGGAUUUUAUUUUACAACUCAAAUACAUUUGCUAAUACUAAUAUAUAUGGAACCUUUUAGAAUUAUGCACUCAUGGAUAUGGGGUACACGUGCAACCCACAUACCCAUAGACUAAUAUCACAAACAAGAAGCAACAUCUCCCUGUGAAGGAGAGGGGCUAUUUGAAACUUCCAACUCCAACUCCCCCACCCCCACCCUCCCACCGAAGAGAAAUGAUAAGUUGAAUAAGUUAUUAGAAGACAGAAAACAAUGGAAACACAACCACUGUACAAUGAGGUAUACAACAACCAACAAAGAAAUGCAUAAAUACAACCUUGGGAGGUAAUCCCUAUAAGCUUCUCUUCAAAAGGUUUUAGAACAAAAUUAGAAAUUAACAAAGCAUUCGUUACACAGACUUGUAACAAUUAAAUCACCAUUUUUUAUUGUUUUAUAACCGUGGAGUCCGAGCCAACUUGCGCGCACCUUCACUAAUUCCCAAGGGCACCGGCUACCUGCCCCCUCAUAACACAAAAUCACACAGUAUUUAUCUAAGAUCAAAUCCUUUAAAAGUUAAGAUUUCAAGUUGCGAAGCAAAUUCUGAUGCUCACCUCUAGAAGUUUUGUCUCACUACUAACAUGGAGAUAAUGAGACACUCUAUCCUUUUCUUUCUUCAAGCACUCCUCUGCCUGUGUUAGCAAAGCAUAGGUAUCAGUAUCACAAUUUUCUGUAACAAUUUAAAGCAAUAACCAAACAAUUUAUGAGCUCGUGGCAAUUAUAAAAUGAAUUGUACCUUCAACAUAUAAUCUGGACAAGAAUCUUCCACGAUCCAACUUGAAGCUUUCCGAGAAUAGUAAGCUGCAGUAUCUUUAAGCAUUGGAUCUUCAAAGUCAAUUUCAUAAUACUCCAUUUCCCCCAUUCCAAUUCCAACAAAUAUAUCAAGCACAUUCUUCAAUAAACCUCUGUCAAUCUGCUCACCCUCGCGUUCUUGAUCAAUCUAAUACAAAAGGACUCUUAAUCAAACCCCCAUAAGUAGCAAAUAGUAUUGCAAGAGUUGGGAUCAACUGGAAGUAGGAAGAAACAAAAAACAACAUGAGGAUAUGAUACUUGCCAACACAAUAACUGCAUCUCUAGCUUUACCCUUCAACUCCUGAUAAACCUAUUGUCAACAAAACAGGAAUAAAUUUCCCACACAUCAAAGAUAUGAAGAAACCAAAAAAGGAAAAAGACAAUUAUGUUGCCAAAAAUUAUAUAUGAGAUGCAAGAAACAAACCAGAUCACGAAAGCACGUCAGACCAACUUCAUUAAGUGCAGGUAGCGACCUUCGGGCAAUAAAAUAUCGGUCGAGAUAAUGGAAGAAUCGUGAGAGCCACCUAACCAUAAGUUUAUGAUUUGCCCAUCUUUUCACAAACUCCAUCAACAUAAACUCAUCGUGCUUCUCUCUUAAAGAAGGCAGAACCUAAUAAAGAAAAAUACAAAUUGAAAAAUUGAACAGCAAUAUCAAAAGCAGGUAGAAUAAAUUUCACAACAUAGUGGAACUUCAAUUUAUCCACAUAUACUGUUUUCAAAUUAGAUAAAGUAAAUGUUAACUAGGAUUUCAUCAACUUAAUAUUCUCAAACAGCCACCCAGUUGAACAUACAUCCACCAUUACGGCUCAAAUCAAGCACAUGUCAGUUAUACCAAAUAUAAUAACACCAAAAAUUUCCUGACCAAACUCAAGUUCUACUCAUUAACUGCCUAACUAGAAGUAUAACUCGACCAACAAGUCAGCCAAUUGCAUGGAAGUAAAUAUAUGUGCCUCAUUACAAAGCUAACCAUCAGCUAAUAACUUUUCAACACCUAAUUAUCAUGAGAAAGAGAGUCGAUGCUUCUUACAGUAGAAUUGAUAUAUUCUUCAAAUGCUUCCUUGUACUUCUCAUACAACUGCUGCGAGUAAUCAUUUGGCGGUUUUUGUGUACACAUGUUAUAUAUGGUUCUACACUUCAAUUAAGGAAAAACUUCCUCCCAUGUCAAGAGUAGCUCACUUAUAACCAAAUUGUUAGUUGUUUUAAGACCACCAUGAGAGUAAAGUGGUUGUAGGCAGUUUCAUAUUUUAAAGAUUGAAUAUAUAAAAUAAUGUGUAUAUAUAUAUUAAAGAACAAAUAUGCUUAUAUAUAAAGACACUUUAAGCACAAAGAACCCUAAGGAUACGUGUAGAGCAUCAUGUACUCCUCGGAGCUGAAAGAAUGUUGCUGUCCUUCCAAAAAUUUCUUCAAUUUUAUGAUUCCCUUCUGCAUAAACUCCCAUCCUUCAUCCAACUCAAUAAUCUUCAGCUGGGCCAUUGCCAUCUUAGGAACACGUAUGUUAUGACCACCUGAAUAUGAGCAAUUGAAAACCACAUGUAAUCACAACAUUACAUCAUAUAACCAGCACCAUAACCUAUCCUUUUAUCAUUCUUCAUCUAAGUAUUUAUUGAAGCGAAAUUCUUUCUGCUAAUUUUGGUUUGACUGUUUUGUUUUUGGUUAAUUUCAUUAGGAAUUGCAUGAAUUUAAUAGCUUAAAAUAUAUAUUAACACAUAAUUGGUCAAUAAUUAUGAACAUACAAAAUUGAUCAAGAUAUUCGCUCAAUCUAAAACCGUUGAAAAGUUAAUUGCAUGAAUUUAAUAGCUUAAUAUUUAUCAAGGCAUAAUAGGUAAUAAAUUAUGAAAAUACAAACACGGUACUCAUUAUUCUAUACUAAAACGCAAUCAAACCAUCAAUAAAAAUGCCAAUAAGCUGAAACAUUAUGAUACAUUAUGAAACAAUACAAUAGGUAAUGACUAUUCAAACAAGCUGUCCGCAUGACCUUAAACCCUAGAAAAGUUAAUUGCAUGAAUUUAAGAGCUCAAAAUGUUUAUUAAGGCAUAACAGGUAAUAAAUUAUGAAAAUACAACCUUAGUAGUCACUAUUCUAUACUAAAACACAGUCAAACACUUACUCCUUUCCCUUUUGCACCUGCCUUGUCGAAGUAGAAGAUGUGGCAUUAAUUCAAAAAUACUUUCUUAAAGUGGUCAUGAUACAAUCUAUUCAAACAUACAUGAUAUUAAACCCUAGAAAAGUUAAUUGUGUGAAUUUAAUAUCUCAAUAUAUUUAUUAACACAUAUUGGUAAUAAAUUAUGAAAAUACAAACUCAGUACUCACUAUUCUAUACUAAAACAGAGUCAAAACCAUCAAUAAAAAUGCCGGUAAACCACAAAGAAUGAUACAAUAUAUUUCAAACAUACAAUACAUUACGAAACAAUGAUACGACGGAUAACGACUAUCCAAACAAGAGAUGGCACGAUCUUAAACCCUACAAAAAUUAAUUGCAUGAACUCAAUAGUGAAUCUUGAAUUCAAUAUUUUUAAGGCAUAAUUGGUAAUAAAUUGUGAGAAUACAAACUUAGUAGUCAAUAUUCUACACUAAAACACGGUCAAGGCAUCAAUAAAAAUGUCCAUAAACUACAGCAAAAUGAUACAAUCCAUUCAAACAUACAUACAUUACGAAACAAUACGAUCAGUAACAACUAUCGAAACAAAAUAUCUGCACAAUCCUAAACCCUAGAAAAGUUAAUUGCACGAAUUUAAUAGCUUAAAAUACCAUAUUCUGCCUAAAACAGAGUCAAAACCAUUAAUAAAAAUGCCAGUAAACGACAACAAACAAUACAAUAUAUUAAAAUUAUGAAACAAUACGAUCAUAAACCCUAGAAAAAUUAACAACCACAACAACGAUUAAUCGCAAAACAAAACUAAAUCAAUAAUAAUAAUGCCAUAGUCGUUUUACCAGAACGGUAGAAAAGGAUCGAUCACCAGAGAGCAAGCUGAAUUACAAUCGCCGAGAGACUGAGAAAAAAUGCGAUAAAAAAAUAGUAAAGAGAAAAAGAUCACUGAAUUUACAGUUACAAAAUUGAGGCGGUUUAGUUUCAAUGAAAUUCACCUCUUUAAAAGAGUCCAGAUUUCUCUUGUAACCUAUGUGGAGACUUACUUUCUAUUUUUAUUUGGUUUUCAGAAUAUACGACCAAUCAUAUCGUAUAUCGUAUUUUCGUUUUAUAUUAGAAAAAGUGAUUUUAACAUGCCAUCUAUUUAAAAAAAAAAAUUAUAAGUUUAGAUUAGAAAUUUUUUGCGUCUUUUUUGGUAUACCUAUCAAAAAUUUUAAAAUAAAAUCCUUUAUUUUUUCAUUAAUUACAGAAUAUGUCAUUCAAGAAAUUUAUCAUAAAUGUCAUUGCAUUUAUCAUCUAUUUUUCAUUUUUAUUUAUUUAUUUAUUUAUUUAUUUUUAAAAGAUAUAAUUAUUCUAUAAAAUUGUAUGUCUCAUUGUAUUUAGAAUUUUUUUUCUCAUUGUAUUUGGAAUUUUUUUUUCAAAUCAUUGUAUUUAGGAUGAAGGUGAGAAUUUACAUGUUACUUUUGUUUAGGUUAUAUAAAAAAUUUUGAAAUAUAUUAUAUUUAAGUAAAUUGAUUAAUAAGGUAAUAAUUUAUUGUAAUAAUUAAUAUGAUGAAUAUAACUAAAUACAUUUUAUUCUUUAUUUACAUUUCAUGUCAAACAUAUAAUUUGCUUUCUUCCUUAUUUGCUUCAUGAAAUACAAAUUUGCCUAAUUUAAAUUUGUAAUGUAAAAUUAAUAAAGCUAAUUUAGUAAAAUAAAUUUUUAAUAAAUAUUUUUUAAAAAUUUGUGUCGAGUCAAUAUAUACCAACAAAAAGAAACUAAAGAAAAAUACCUAACAAGAUUUUACUUAUGUAAGGUUAAACAUAAUUCGUAACGAAAUAAUAAUAAUUGGUUAUUUUUGUAUAUGCAAAUAAUAUUAUCCAUAUUGAAUUAAGCAUAUUAUUCCUACAAGUUAAUUUAUUUUUUAAUUAAAACUUUGAGCAUUAAUUAUUUGUUGGAUUGUAGUUAUUUUAAUCACCUCAAACUCAAAGCAAAAAUUUGUAAUAUUUCAUUUUAAAAUAACUUAAUAUAUAAAAUAUAUUUUACUCGUAUAACUUAUUUAAUCAAUUUGAUAUUUUUCUUGAUUUAUCUAAAACCUAUUGAAUUAUGAUUUUAACUAAAUAAACCAAAUAAUUGGUAUUUCUUGAUUUUUCAAAAUUCACCAACAUUCCUGUAUCACUCCUGAUUAAUUAUUAUAGCAAUUUAUAUAUUAAAAAAUUAAUAUUAAAAAAUAAAAUAGAUAUUUAUGACAUUAAUGCUUCAAUCAUAAUUUUACUAUAUAGCCUCUAAUUAAUUAUUAUAAAUCAUUUAUAUAUUGAAAAGUUAAUAAUAUUCAAUUCGUUAUUUAAUAAAGUUAAUAAUAUUCAAUUCGUUAUUUAAUUAUAUCAUCCCUAAUUAAUUAUUAUAAGUCAUCUAUGUAUUAAAAAAUUAAUAAUAUUUAAUUAAAAAUAUAAAAUAAAUAUUUAUAACAUGUCUGCUUCAGCUGUUUCAAUCAUGAUUUUGCUAUAUCACCCCUAAAUAUUAUUAUAAAUUAUUUAUAUAUUAAAAAAUUAAUAAUAUAUAAUUAAAAAAAUAGACAGUUAUAACAUAUCUGCUUCAGCUGUUUCAAUCAUAUUUUUACUAAAUAUUACUCUUAGUUAAUUAUUACAAGUCAUUUAAGUAUUAAAAAUUAAUAAUAUUUAAUAAAAAAGGUAAAAUAGAUAUAAAAAUGACAAAUUAACUCGUGAUGUUUUAAAUUAACUUGACGUCUUAUAUAAGAUCCACUCAAAUUUUUUUCACGGGUAUUUUUGUAGUAAUUUUACUAUGUUACUUCUAAUUAGUCAUUGUAAGUCAUUUAAGACAUUUAUGUUUUGCUACUCAAUCGCGAUUUUACUAUAUUACCUCUAAUUAAUUAUUAUGACCAUAUAAGCUUUGUGUCACUUAAAUUUGAACAAAAGAAAUAUUAUAAAGUACAAUAAUUAAAAAUUUAAAUUAUUAAAAAAAUAUACUUGACUAUCAACGACACAAAAUUCUGGACAAGAAGAGUAACAUAUAUUAUUCAAAAAUUACACAAAAGUAUUAUAAAUUACAAUAGUUAACCGCUUAAAAUAUCUAAAAAUAAUUUAAUUUGUUAUAUAUUUCAAGAAAAUAUGUAAAAAAAAUUAUAAAUCACAAUAAUUAACAACUUCAAAAAAAAUUAAAAAUAUAAAAUAUUCGGUUGACUCUCAAAAUUAUAUUAGUAUCACUUAAUUAUAAUAGAAGAAAAGUAUUAUAACUCACAAAAAUUUAAAACUUAAAUUAUUUUACAAAUAUAAUUGGUUAUCAAUACCACAAAAGUUUGGACAAGAAAAAUAAUGUAUAUUAUUUGAAAAUUAAAUAAAAAUUAUGAUAAAUCAUAAUAGUUAACAACUUAAAUUAUCUAAAUACAUAUUAAAAGUAUGAUUGAUUAUCUAUAUUCUAUUUGUGUCAUAUAAACUCAGAAAAAACCAACAUGUAUUGAACUCGUGCUAAAUCUCCGAUGAAUUUUAGAAUGUAUAUGCAAUCUUCUUUUAAAAAAAAAAUGUUUAAAUAUAUCAAGAUUGAAAAGACAAGUUAUAAUACAGCACAUCAAAUAGUGUAUAAGAAAUAAUAUUAGUAUGAAUAAUACCAGCAUUACUAAUACAAGCAUUAAUAAUGCAAACAUUACUAAUACAUUCUAUUUCAAAAUUAUUUUUAUACACUCUAACAAAUGACUCCUACGUUUCAAUGAAAAGAACAUAUACAAAAGCAAAUUUCGAUAAAAAUAUUUAAAGAAGUAUGUUUAAUUGUGUUCUUAAAGUCAAAUAGCUUAAAUUAAAAACUUAUACUUUUUUUUUUAUAUAUAUAAUUUUCAAAACACUUAAAAUUUAAAUUUUAAAUAUUAAUUUAAUUUUAACUUCAAAGAAUAAGUUGACAAAUAAAAAAAAGGAGAAAUGAAAGUAAAGAAUGUUUAUGUCGGCUUAGUGGGGGAAUACAAUGCAAUUUAACCUAUUAGUUACAACUCACGUGUAAUGUAAUAUGCAAUGACUAGAUAAUCAUUUAUCUUUUUCAAUAAUUAUUCUCUAUUUUAUACAACAGGUAUCAAGUCCUAUGCAUCAAUUUUAAUCUCAUAUUUUAUGUUUAAAGUAACAAAUUUCAGUCAUAUGAUUAAAGAUCUGAACUUCAAAAUGCAUAAAAUUUUGUUAUUUGUAUGAGUAAGUUAUACAUGAUUAUCUUGUGGAAUAAUUUAGCUCCUUCAAAAAUACUAUCAAACAGUUAAUAUGUUUUGUGUAUCCAUGUUUUAUAAUUCACAGUGACAUUAAUCUAUCUUAUGGUACAUAAUUAAAAUAUCUUAAUGCACGGGCCAUGCUACUCUAGUUAUACUAAUACAUAGUAUAAAAUACAAAACAAUUAAGUCAUGUACGGAAAUUCUUAAACCUCACAAGUCACAAGUGAUAAUCACUUUUUUUUAAAAUGACAAUGAUAUCCUAAUCAAUUUGCGUGCAUUUAUUAAUCUUGUAUUUAUUACUGUUAAACUUUAAGAUUAGCGUGUUAUCAGAUACUUCGCGAUUAGAUAUUUAGUUAGAUUCAAUUUUUUAAUAGGAAAAAAAAUUUUGGCCACAUUAGCAAAAAGAUUUAUUCAUAGUAUAAACUAGUUUUUUUGGGACAUUUUUGCCCCUCUCAUCCUAAAUUUAAAAUUCUAUCAUUACUUAUGUAUUAUUAUUUUUUAAUACAUUGGAAACUAUCCUAAUACAUAAUAAUGGACAAGUUAUCAUGAUUUUCGUAAACAUGAUUGCAUAGUAUGUAUUGCUUGAAAAGAAUGUCUAGAAUAAAAAUAAUGAUAUAAAAUUAAUUAAUUAUAUUUUCAUACAGCCAAAAUAAAUGUGACCAAAGUAGUAUUGUCUAAAAUUUUAAUUUAACAUAAUAUACUUAUGUUAAAUUAAUAUAUAUAUUUUUUAAAAAAACUAAUUUAUUUUUUUUUUGGAAAAAAUGUCUAAAAUAAUAAUGAUAUAAAAUUAACUAAUUAUAUUUUCAUAUAGCCAAAAUUAAUGUGACAGUGGAAAUUCUAAUUUAACACAAUAUACUUAUGUAUCAUAUUUACUUAAUUAUUUAUUUUAUCAUAUAAAUAAUUCUUAAUUUUUUUAUUCUUUUAUUUGAAAUCUUAUGUCUCUUCUAUUUUAUGAGUGAGAAUUUCAAUUGUUUUGCAUUAACACAUUAUAGACUGCCAAUGGAUUAAUAUACAUUAGUUUGUUAGUAUUUACUGGUCAUGUUGAAGUUAUUUAUAUAGUCUGUUUUUCUUCUUUUUCUUCUUCUUUUUUCAGUUAUUUUUUGUUGAAACCAAAUCAUACCAAUCAAAUUUUUAGUGAUCUCUAAAAUUAAAGUUAAAAUCGAACCAAAUAAAGAUAUCAAUUUUUUCCUUGAUUUGAUUUCUUCUCCUCUCUCCCUCUUAAAUUAACACCCUCACUUGACAUAUUUUAAUAACCUAUAAAUCAAUGUUUUGGUGUAAAUUAAUAUUUUUUAUUCAAUAGGUGGAAGGAGGACAGACUUAAUCUAGAUGGAAUUUGGAAGGAAUGUAUUUUAAACUAGGGAAUUUUCGGUCCUUUUUUGUAAUGUAGAUCUUGAAGUAAAAAUUCUUUUGGCCAUGCACGAUGGACACAAUAAUAUUUGAAUGUUUAUUCACACUACAACUCGAUUUUUUGGCUACAUUUUUACACUUUUUCAAUUUAAAUUUUUCUCAAUAGUUUAUUAACUAUUUUCAAUAUAUGGUACAUAUUAUAAAAAUCAUAAAAUUACAUUGUUCAUAUGUGUUGACUAUUGCUAUUGCUAGCAACAACUCAAGAGAGUCACGUGUUAAUGUGUAGUCUUGCUCCCGUAUGGUAUGUUGAUUUUUGAUAAUUUUCUAAUCAUUACUUAUAUUUGUUAUUAAAUUGAUCUUUAAAAAAAAAUGGAGGGACGAGAAAGAAAAUAGGGGAGGAGAUUAUAAUGUUGGGAAUCGAACCCUCACCAACAAGGUAGAGCCCAAGUAACUAACCAACUAAGCUGCUAAAAUUCUCUCUAUUAAAUUGAUCUCUACUAAAGUUAUUUUAUUAAUUAUUAUGCUUAAAUAAAUUUAAACUACAUAUUUAUAUUUUAAUAUAAUUUAAAAUAAUAACAACCGUUAUAACUUAAAACACUUUAGACAUGAUAUACAUUCACACAGUAUACGAAUCUUAAAAAUCAUAUAACUCACAUAUGUUGAUCAUAGUAACAACUCAAUUCACAUAUUAAUGUUGUAGUGUCUUGACACUAUUAUAUUAUGUCAAUUUGAUAACUUGCGAUCAAAUCAUUACUUAUUGUUUUGCGAAAAUUUUGACCUUUUAAGAUACCUUAAACGAUCCAAAACAGAAAAAUCAUUUAAAAUUUAAAGAUUCUGAGCAAGCAAUUUCUAUUAACGUUCUAGGAAGGUUUAAGACACCUAAAACAUCCGCUAGCUUGAGGUUAUCCGAACUGUAUGAAAACAUCUUUUGAUUAAUCUUCAAAACAGAUUGAUUUGUUGAAAAGUGAUCAAUUUUUUAUCAAAUACUUGUGUAAAAUAAAUUUAGGCGACUUAGUUUGAAUUUUAACUAGGUCUAAACAAAACUAAUAAUCAAAUAAACACAUAAAAGGAAAAAGAGAGGUGAAAGUAAAAGAUUUAAGCCAUUGGGCUCGAAUCAACGUGACCUGUCCUAGUCUAAUUUAAUUGGACUUUCGAUCAAUUUCACCUGUCCUAAUCUAGUUUUCGAGCCUUUUGGCUCGAGUUUUGCUCCAUCCGUAUUAAAUUUACAACUUUGACUUCGAGGUCCAAAAUGAAUAAAUAAUGAAAUAAAGGAAUAAAUAAAUACAACAAUAAAUGACUAAAUAAAUAAACAAAUACAUGAAAAAUUAGACUUUCAAGUCUCUUGGCCGCUUCAAAGAUGAACUUUAACUCAUUUUUCUUCUUUCGACUCUUUGUAUCCAUAUGCCAUGUGAUUGUCUUCUGAAUUGUCUUUCAAAAGUCUUCUAAAAAGGAGUGGGCCUCAAUGGCCCAUUGCGCAAUGCAAGAGGAAAGAGUCCCUUUGGACUCACAAACGAGUUCAUGUAAAGAAAAAGAUAAAGGAAUUAAUAUCCAUUCAAAGCACAAAAUGACAUGCUUCAAGGUAAAAUAAAAUAUCAAAAGCUAAUUUUCGAACGACAAUGAUGGGCAUACUCAUGCAUAUAUGAUAAGAAUGAGAGUCAAAAGAUGAAAGGCAGAGCAAGAACACAACUCGAGUAUAUAGCUAAUCAAAGGGAGUAAAAAGACUAAAGUGAGAGUUUAACAUCUCUAAAGUAAACACCGUUUGAGGAUCGCACUAUGCACAAUUCGAAAAUAAAUAAUUCUAAUUAGCCAUAAAAGUUGGAACAAGCCUUUAAGGCACCGAAAAGGGAAAGCACGGAUGUUUUACAGAGAAAAGGGGAAAAGAAAAGGAGAACAAAGAUGAAAGGGCAAAUUAUGAGUUUCAAAUCAACGGAAACUUUUCUUUGAUCACGGCCUUACAAAAUCCUUAAAGGUCUUAGGCCAUGAGCAUGCAUAGGCAAAAAUAUUGUCGAGAUAACUAUAUUCAAACAAGCGACAACUUGGAUUCUACUAAUCAUAGCCAACACAAGGUACCCAAACCCAUUAAACAAGUGAUUCAAAUAUCGAAGAAAUAAUGACGUAGAAGACCGCGCUUAGCAAAUGGUGUUAAAUAACCAACAAGAAGAAAAUUUUCAAUCCAUUUUAAUGAAAUAGUUCUAACAUUGAAGCUUCUAUACCCACAAAUCCUUAGGACCGCUUAUAACAUCUCAAAUACCAUAAGACACAAGCAUAUGUACCAUAGCAAAAAUCUAAGAAACUUAACACAACAUAUUUGAUGUUUUGCACCGAUGUAACAAAAAGAACAGUAGGCAAAGGGUAAUUCUACCACUAGUGCAUAUGAUUACUUUUAUGGCAGGCGCAAAAGAGGAUAAUUUUCAAGCUUCUGAACUCAACUAAACAUCCAAAAAAGUAGCAUUACUCAAACAAAAUCUACCGCCUGUUAAAGUUCAUGGAAAACAGAAAAGGGAUGAAAGCUUGUGUAGAGUAACAACUAACACCAACAAACAAAUCAUUCAAUACAAAAAAAAAUAAAAAAAAAUGGAACGAACAAUUUAUCAAGAGAAGAAACAAUAUGUGGUUAGACUUAAGCAAAAGUUUCGUCUAGUGGCACGGUGAUUCAAAACAAAAUUUAAACUAAGAGAAAAAAUCGAGAAGCUAACCAAAAAACAGUGAGCACAAGACUACGACUAAAACAACGACGUGUUAAAAUAUACUACAAACAAGAUUUUCAUCACGUAAUCUAUGGCCUCAAGACCUAGAAACAACAGCUAAUCCCCAGCAAGCAAAGCUACGACUAUAAAACUACGACUACAAAGAAAGAGGCUAAGAGGAAAACGAUGACAGAACUAAAGAGAAAAGGAAUGUUUACCUCUUUCGGGGGAGCAAAAUGAGACAACGAACUAACGUUGGGAUAUCGAUCACCACCGAAGGACUUUGCCGCGACUACGAAAGCUCCAAAGCAGUCCCGACCCUUCUCCGGGAAAAGAAAAAUUAUACUCCAAUAGAAAGUUAACUCGUUUUUCUCAACUCAGAAUAAUUUUCACCUCCCUUUUUCCCUUUUUUCUUAUGUUUUUUUGCUUCGAAAAAUCCCCCCCUCGGCGCAACAGUGAGCUCCCCUUUUAUAGGAAACCAUUGAGGGUCUCCUCUUAUGUUGGGACGAUGUGGGAAUCCCCAAAAACAAGGGUAAUUUUGGGAACUUAUAAUAGGGAAUUCAAAAUUUGAACUCAAGAUAGCGUUUUCCACCAACAAAUUGUAUGAAUUUUGGGAUUUUUUGAACAAAUUUGAAAAGAUUGGCCAAUAAAAUUGGGGAAAUCCGAAUCAGGACCAAGGACCAAUGAAAUCCCAACAAAUACGUAUGGAUUGUACGAAUUUGACCAUUGGGGAAGCCACCUCGGCAUUUCUAGCAUAUUCUCGAACAAAGCCCGCGUGGGACGCCUGAGGAAAAUUAAAACCAGUUGAUUGCGGGUUGUUGGUAUCGGGUUGCUGUUCGGAUUGGAGGUCGGGUCUGGUUUCGGGUCGGCGUUGAUCGGUUUUUGUGCGUUGUUGUCGAUAUUGUUGUUUGAUCUGUUUGUUGUUGCUGUGCGUUAUUUCCCUUAAAGGAGAAGAUGGAGUAAAGUGGGCCGGAUCAUGGACUGGUUUGGGCUGAAAUGGUUGAAAUGGGUUUUGCUGAAUCAAAAAAGGAUUAGAGGGGUUUGGGCCGAUCCAGAUCAAUUAGUAUUGGGCCUGUUUAUUUCAAAUGCCAUUGGGCUACUGGUUAAUUUUAGGGUUAAAUUGGUAGAUUAGGAAUGUCAAAAUUUUGGGGGUUAUUUAAAACAUAACCCCCAAUUAAAAUUUAGGAUUUAGCCGAUUUUAAUUAAUAUUUGAUCAAAUUGAAAAUUAAAUUGGUCAAUUGAAUUGCAAUUGUGGUCAAUUUGAUUUUAAUUGUGGUCGAAUUUAAUAAAUUGACUAGAUCGAAUCGAAAUUCGAUAUGAAUUAAUACCUCGUUCAAUCCCGAGCUUCUUGAUUUAAUAAACUCA